AGCUCUCUCUCUUGGAAGAGUAAGCAAAGGUUUGAUAUCAGCUUAAGUCCACAGUUCUCUCUCCCUCUCUUUUUUUUAAAAAAAAAGUUUUUCUAGAUUAUUUUAUUUUGGUAAUAAGGGGUGGAAUAUGGAAAUGCAAAAGCCAAAAAAAUCCUGUCCUAAAAAGAAAUUAAACUGUUAUUACAACACUUCAAGCAACAGAGUACUUAUUCCCACUGAGGCCAGUAUUUCAAGAUAUUAGUUAGCUUUUAAGAUCUAAAACUAGUCUAAAAUAUGAAUUUACAAAUUGCCGUCAUCUAAGCAGAGCUUUCCCUACACCAAAAUAAUAUCUGUGUAGGUUCAAUACCAUCAUUAGGGAUGAAAGAAAAAAAUCAAUUUGUGCAGUCAACAACCUGUGAGAACACAGUAAGAUGUUAUUAAAAUAUUUUAUAUUUGCUUAGGUUGCUUUAUAAAUGUUGCUCUACCAAUACACUGAUUACAUUUGAAGGAACUGUAUUACAGUGCUGCUUAAUAACACAGUGACAAUGGAGAACAAAAUUAUUCAUCCUUUUUGACAAGUCUAUUCCUGAGGAAGUUCAGUCUGCUGCAUAAGUUCACUAAAACAGUGCAUUAGUUGCAACUAUUUAAUGUAUAUCUCAAUUCUUCUGACACAAAUUAACCAAUCAAACAAAUGCCAUCUGAGCACAGUACUGCAGUCAGUUAAAACAUAUUCUGCUUGAAAAUAACAAACCUGAUUGAAAUUUUUGCUUGAAAGAACAAAAUUAAACAAGUCAAUAUAGUUGAAGGGGUACAGAAAGUAAGGGAAAAUAAAUUAUUUUCCUUUGUUUCUUUACAAGUUAGUACGUGCCCAUUGCUCACUUGCUCAUCCAAAGUGCAUAUCUUCUGGCUGAACUGCUGUUUCUUAUCUCCUGAAAUUAAUCUGAUAAGAAAACCCCCUUUUAUCUUCAGAGUUGUAAAGACAAGACUCUUUGGUAAAUGUAUAUGGCACACCCUUUUUGAUUUCAGUAUGCACUUAAAGACAGAAGGAACAUUAAGAUCCAAGUUGAUCUCUACUUUUAAAGGGUACUCUUUCAAGAAAAAAAAUCACGUGGAGGCAGACUAAAAAUAUUUCUUCUACAGUUCUCUAUAUCAGUAAGAAAGAGCGCUACAAAACCUUUUCCUGCUACUAGAUCUGAUCUCUCAGUCAUUUCAGACCUCUUCUUGGCCAGAAUGCAUUGUUUCAAUUUACAUUUCUUUUUUUUCUUUAGUGCUACAUCCACUUUUUUUCUCUGUCUACUCAUGUUCCUGCUCCAGUGAACAUUUACAGUAGUUUCUCAGCUGUUACCCACCCUUCUGUUAUCUCUUUCUCAUUUAUUUUCUUUCUUUACAGUGUCCUGCAUGCAAGUAUCUACUUAUGCACUGAAAUGUUUAUUCCUGGAAGAGAUAAAACCUUUUCAUAACAGCACACUGGCAGUGAUCUACCCAAUCUACAUGUACUCAGAAAUAAAAGUACUCUUGUGAGAAGAGUACACCUCUCUGCCCAUAUCUAGACUUAUCAUCUGUUGUUGCAUGUCACAUAAUAUGUGGUGUUAUCUAUCAAAUGCUGAUAAAGGGUUGGUAUGUACAAUGGUGCCUUUCUGGAUGCAGUAUGUUUUGUAGAAACCCAAGUAAACAUUGUCUGUAAUGGGACUAACAGAUUUUCAGAAACAUCUCAAUCUGAUUAAAAAAAAAAAAAAAAAGUAUGUAAUGACAAGGAAAAUUCUCCCAUUAUAUAUAUACUGCUAAAUGAAAGAGGACUAGGUUCUGAUUCUUGUCUAUGUUACCAGGGACUGGGCUCUGCCAUUAUGGAUGGGUAUCAGAAAACUAGACAGCCGUAUGGAUGACUUGCUUCCAGGCUACCUUUCCAUUUAGCAGCAUACUCUUAUGUGAUAGGUAACAUCCACUGACAAAGCUGAACAUUUAAGCAGUAGAAGUGUCAAGUCUGGGGUUGUUGCUGCACAUUGCUCUGGGAUGAAGCUGUGUUUUGUGCUCAUUGUCAGUGUGACUUUCUCCAUCCGUUUGCCAGUCGAGCUGUAUUCAUCAUUACUUCUGCUUCUUCUGUGGCAGCCCUAGGAGUAGAAAAUGGUGUCUUCUCUGUCUCUUCAGAAUCUUGAAAUCCUGCAACACCACACCACUAAUACCAAAGUGCUCUUCUAUGUGAAUAAGACGCAUACUCCUAUACUAAAUUUUGUUAUUAAAGUCAAAAUCUACAUGUUCUUCUGGCUAAGAUCAGUUACUUUGGAGGUAGUCUGGAAGCAGUCUUCUGUACAGUGCUCUGUACACUCCGCCUGUGGUCUGCACACUAUUUGCAGUGCUCUUGGAUAACGUUCAUUUCAGGUUUCAAUUAAAAGGCAGAGACGUAAGAAGCCGCACCAGCUAAAGGGAAAUAUAUGCUAUUUGGAGGGUUUUGAGACCAACCAUCAAAGAUGUGACAUGGGGAAUCCAGUCAACAGUGGAGCUGUAAGGACCAUUUGCGGCACAGUCUAUGCGCUGUGAAUGUUGAAAUAUACUGAGCACAAAUGAAAUGAAAUGAAUGAAGAGCGUGAACUUCAUAUACGGAAUUAAGAAAUAUGGCUUAAAUCUCCUUAGACAGAAGGAAAAAUGGAACUCUGCUCACUGUACAGCAAAGGUUGAUUGGCUAAUGUACACUGAAAAGGAGAGGACAAAGGAAUAGAAAAUAGGUCAUCAAAAAGAGCUGGAAAGAAAAAAGCAACAAGCAGCCAGAAUCUACCUCUUCAUCUAGAACUCUGCUAAAUUUUCUGAGUAAAUGACCAUUAACUGAGGUCCUGAGGAAAAGCAGAUGUCAGGACUCCUUAUUUCUAGGACCUGAGUGGAUGCUGGAGUUAACUUGUUUCCAAUCCGAAUGGCAUUAUAAAGGACAUACUAUAAGAGCCUCUGCAUGUAUCUGUUUCUUGAAAUGCCCGAUGAAUUCUUUGGUAAAACUGUAAGUUACUGGAGUUCAGAUAUUUUUGCUGAACAGUUCUGCAUUAAGUACAAAGAGUACAUAAAGUUCGGAACAUUUGCAAAGAAGUUUAUGGAUCUGAGUAGCCUCACAGCAUCAAUAUUCCUCCUUUCUUUGUGUAGUCAAGAUGUCCUUUCUCAUUAUGUAGAGAUGUGAUUCCAUAUCAUUUUGUAUAUUUGAGCUACACAUUUUUGAGAAGCAUACCUGAAGGCAGCACAUUACCUCUAAACCCUUGUAGUCCUCUGUAGUUAAUCCCAAAUGAGUCAUGCAAUACAAUUAGUCUUUAUAACAUAGUAAAAAUGGGAAAUCUGUCUUUGAAAACUUAAUUCCAAGGAUCACUUUCCUGUUAAUAGCCAUUAACUUAUUUAAAAGUAAAAAUAUGUAACAUUCAAACACAAACAUAAAUGGUACCAGGAUAAAAUAGAUUAAAAAAAAAAAAGAUUACAUCAAAUAUAUAAUUUACUCAUUUUUUUAAUAAAUGGAGUCUGGGUUCCACAGAGAGAGAAACUGUUUAAACUAUUCAGUUAAUUAAAGCUUAAUUUGUCAUUAACAUCAUGAGUCAGAGCAACUAUAGACCUACAAGGAAAUAAUAGCAGAAAAUUCAUGGUCUUUACAUAGAGUUCUUUGAUUCCACUAAAGUGAGAUGAUUUUGGGUAUUUAAAGAAAAAAAGAAAUAAUUUGAGCAUGUACUGCUACAUUUAUAAGUAAAUAAGAUCAAGGCAAGUCUCGAGGACUGUCACAAGGCAGAUCAUAUCUGACCAAUCUGGUGGCCUUCUAUUGUGGAAUGAUGACAUUGUUGGACAAAGGAAGGGCAACUUAUGUUGUCUACAUGGAACUUGUACAAGGUGUUUUCUAUGAUCCUGCAGUACUUCCUUCUCUCAAAAUUGGAGAAAUAUGGAUUUGAAAUCUGGACUAUUCAGUACAGAAAGAAUUGGUUGGAUGGCAAUAGCCAGAGGGUUGUUGUGAAUGACUCUAUGUCCAGAUGAAAUAUGCUCAAGGGUGGUGUCCCCCAAGUGUCCAUCUUGGAAUGUGCACUCUCUAAUAUCUUUAUCAACAACAUAGAUGAUGGGAUCAAGUGCACCCUAAGCAAGAUUGCUGAUGACACUACACUGAGUGGUGCAGUUGACAUGAUAGAGGGAAGGGACACUAUUUGCAGGGACCUAAAUGGACUUGAAAAGUGGUCAUACAAGAACCUAAUGAGGUUUAACAAGGCCAAGUGCAAAGUGCUGCAGUUGGAUUGAGGUGAUCCCAGAUAUGACUACAGACUGGGAGAAAAACUCACUGAGAGCAGCCCUGUGGAGAAGAACUUGGAGGUUCUGAUUGACAAAAACUGGACAUGAGCCAGCAGUGUCCUCUUCCAGCCCAGAAAGUGAACAGUAUACUUGGCUGCAUUAAUUUUUUUUUUUCCUAUAUCCUUGUUGGAUACAAGGGAAAAGUCUUUUAUAGUGAGGGUGGUGGAGCACUGGAAUAUGUUGCCUAGAGAUAUGGUUGAUGCCCUAUUCCUGGAUACUUUCAAGGGGUGCAGCCUAAAAUUGCAUUUCUGCUGUUGUAUUAGCAUGGAUUUGUGCCUGAGCCCAGCCUACUCUUUCCACAAAAGCUGAAGUGAUGGAUGGAAAUCUGCUUUUCAUCUGGAGAAAACUAAGUGUGGAAAACUAAGUGCAAAGUGCAGGAUUGGCUGAUCUUCUUUGACCAGAUCUAUCUGACUCCUCACCACCUACUCUGUGCGAUUGCAUGGCAUAUUUCUGAGCUUUGAGUGUCCUCACAGAAUUUUAUUCCCAGCCCUUUGUCUUGAUUUCAGCUGGGACAGAGUUGACUUUCUUCACAGUGUCAGGUAUGUUGGUGUGUUUUGGCUGUGGGAGAAAAACAGUGUUGACAGUACAUCAGUGCCUUCAUUGUUGCUUUGCUGUUCUCCACAGAGCCAAGGACAUUUCAGCUUCUUGUACUGUUCUGUCAGUGCAAGGGGAUGAGGGGACACAAGGAGCUGAGGGGAGACAGAAUCAGAACAUCUGAGCUAAACUGGCCAAAGGGAUAUUUUAUGACAUAUGACAUAAUUUGAAAAAACUUGGGGAGUUGGUUGGGGAGAGGGGUGCUGCUCAAAGGCUGGCUGGAUGUCCAUCAGCUGGUGGUGAAUAAUUGCACAGUGCAUACAUUGUUAAGUUGGCAUAUAUUGUCAUUUCUAUUACUAUUUUCAUUUUCUGUCUUAGUAGCUUUUAUCUCAACCCGUGAGUUUUACUUUGUGGCUUUUUUUUUCUUUCCUUCCCAGUUCUCUGUAAUGCCUUUGCUUCCAGAAUUCCUCCCAUACUAAGCCAAGUGCCUGAAAGGUGUGAUGGCUUUCUUUCCAUAUAUGCUUAUCUUUUUCUACUGACAGUACUGACUCAUGUUUUCCAGGAAUAGUGAAAGUUGACAAUGGAAAAUUACUUGUAUACAGAUAAAUUUAAUGGAAACUGAAAUGAAAUAGUGAUAUAAUUCCACAGCACAUAGCUACUCAUGAAAACAUAUUCAAACUUCUCCAAGGCUUUCAACUAUCCAUCAUCUACCAUUCCAGUUUGAAGACUGGCAAAUAUCAUGACAACUAACUGUUUGGUUUUGAUUUGAUGUUUUCACUUAAUUUAAUGUUCAGCUUAACUGAGAUAUUAGUGCUUCUGAAACAAAAUAUGUAUUCCUUAGCAAACAGAAGCAGUUUUUCCAAUGUUGCUCAUCAGUGCUGGCUCAGAACAUCUUGACAGUCUUGUUCAGUUGCAAUUUGGUUGUACUUCUGCACUGUACUUCUGCACAAUACUUGUUUUAAUUCUGGAUGUGAACAACUGAUACUGUUAAUCUGGGAAGAACAAGAGCAUUAUUGUAAAGUAUUGAGUAGCAAAGGUCUGUGUUUUCAGAGAUAGGGAAUAUUGAUUACUGUUUUAGGUUUGCAUCAUAUGUACAGUAUAUUGAUUGGCUGGACCACAAGAAAAUAAGUUCACUUGUCUUUUCAUAGACUAACAAAAACAAUAAUGAUUAGCAGAGUUUAUAAUUAUGUUUCUUGAACAUCAUAACUUGAUUAGUCUGCAGCAACAAACUCAUUUAACUUAAAUUGCAAAUCAAUUUACUCGUUAGUUCUAUUCAAA